rnacentral:rRNA from 1 species
AUGGAGGCUCCGGUCAGCGCUUCCCAGGGAGUCAUGCGGUCCCUCCCUAUGAAGAUGGAAUCGUUGCUGUCGGGACCGGAGCACGGUCUGCGGGCAGAGGAGAAGAAGAAGCUCCGCAUCCUCCAAGGCGAGCUCCAAGAACUAAUAGACAACUAUCUGCUGGAGCCAUCGGAGGUGGAGUUCCCUGCCUCGACGGCCAGCACCUGGAUGGGAUGCGUGCGCGACCUGUCGUACGACAUCGACGACUUCAUCUACGAGCUCGCCCACGUCGCCGGCGGCGGUGCCAGGUUCAACGUCGUCCAGAAACCCCCCCGAUUCAAGAUCUCUCGGAGGUUUCCGGAGAAGCCGAUGCGGCGCCAGUGGAUCGCCAUCGAGAUCUCGGGGUUCAGGACUCGCGUCAAGGAAGCGAUUCGACGGCACAAUGAUUAUCUCGGUCGUAACUGCAAGUGGCGGCCCAGCAGCAGCGGCCAGCCUCCUCCGUCACCACCAUCCGGCGUGGCUGCCAUUCACCUUGUCGGUGUGGACAGCUCCAUCAAGCAGCUCUGCGGCUGGCUGGCUAACGACGGGCAGCCGGAGCACAAGGUGGCGUGCAUUGUUGGACCUGGUGGGGUUGGGAAGACCACCCUUGCCAAACAAGUGUACCGUAUGCUCCGAGUCGGAGGUCAGUUCCAGUGUCUGGCUUUCGUGCGGACAUCGCGGAAACCAGACAUGAAGGGCCUUCUCACCAGCAUACUCUCCCAAGUUCGGCCGCAGCAGCUCACGGACGACGCUUGCGACCUGCAUAAUCUCGUCCUUAGCAUCAGGGCACACCUCCAAGAUAAGACGUACUUAAUUGUAAUUGAAGAUCUGUGGGCAUUGUCAACCUGGGACCUUGUUAAUCGAUCAUUGCCAAAGGGAAACUGUUGCAGUAGAAUAUCAACGACAUCCGAAGUUGAAGUAAUAGCCCAAACAUGCUGUGCAAAGAAAGAAGAUAAUUCCACAUAUAUGCCUUUCAAGAAACAAGAUGACUCCAAAUACAUCAUCAAGAAGGAACCACUUAGUGAAGAUGAGUCAAGAGUGCUGUUUUUAAGUAGAGCUUUCGGCAAGCAAGCUGAACGUCCUCAGCAUCUCAAGGAAGUUUCAAAUGAGAUUUUAAAAUGA